AGGAACCCGGUGCGAUUCCGGGACGGUCCCGCCACUGUGACCGGGGAGCGGACCCCACCCGUGGCCACGGCCCCCCGCGGGCUGGAAGGCCGGGGACCCCGCCGAGAUCCGGGAGUCAGGACACU
rnacentral:ncRNA from 1 species